GACGAACCGUGCGAACGUUGUUCGGAAUCACUGGGCUUAAAGGGCGCGUAGGCGGACCUCCAAGUCCGGGGUGAAAUCUUUCGGCUUAACCGGAAAAGUGCCUUGGAUACUGGGGGUCUCGAGGGAGGCAGGGGCGGAUGGAACUUCCGGUGGAGCGGUGAAAUGCGUUGAUAUCGGAAGGAACGCCGGUGGCGAAAGCGAUCCGCUGGACCUCUUCUGACGCUGAGGCGCGAAAGCCAGGGGAGCGAACGGG
rnacentral:rRNA from 1 species